rnacentral:rRNA from 1 species
UACGUAGGUGGCAAGCGUUUGUCCGGAAUUAUUGGGCGUAAAGCGCGCGCAGGCGGUCCUUUAAGUCUGAUGUGAAAGCCCACGGCUCAACCGUGGAGGGUCAUUGGAAACUGGGGGGACUUGAGUGCAGAAGAGGAAAGCGGAAUUCCACGUGUAGCGGUGAAAUGCGUAGAGAUGUGGAGGAACACCAGUGGCGAAGGCGCUUUCUGGUCUGUAACUGACGCUGAGGCGCGAAAGCGUGGGGAGCAAACAGG